UACGAAGGGGGCUAGCGUUGUUCGGAAUUACUGGGCGUAAAGCGCGCGUAGGCGGUGAUCUUUGUCAGAGGUGAAAGCCCGGGGCUCAACUCCGGAAUUGCCUUUGAAACGGGAUCGCUAGAGUCCGGGAGAGGUGAGUGGAACUGCGAGUGUAGAGGUGAAAUUCGUAGAUAUUGGGAAGAACACCGGUGGCGAAGGCGGCUCACUGGCUCAUUUCUGACGCUCAGGCGCGACAGCGUGGGGAUCAAACAGG
rnacentral:rRNA from 1 species